UAAACGACUCUCGGCAACGGAUAUCUCGACUCUCGCAUCGAUGAAGAACGUAGCGAAAUGCGAUACUUGGUGUGAAUUGCAGAAUCCCGCGAACCAUCGAGUCUUUGAACGCAAGUUGCGCCCGAAGCCAUUAGGUUGAGGGCACGUCUGCCUGGGCGUCUCAC
rnacentral:rRNA from 1 species